rnacentral:rRNA from 1 species
GACAGAGGGUGCAAACGUUGUUCGGAAUUACUGGGCGUAAAGCGCGUGUAGGCUGCUCAGAAAGUCGGAUGUGAAAGCCCUGGGCUUAACCUAGGAAGUGCAUUCGAAACUUCUGAGCUUGAGUUCUGGAGAGGAGACUGGAAUUUACGGUGUAGCGGUGAAAUGCGUAGAUAUCGUAAGGAAGACCAGUGGCGAAGGCGGGUCUCUGGACAGUUCCUGACGCUGAGGCACGAAGGUCAGGGGAGCAAACGGG